rnacentral:rRNA from 1 species
CCUACGGGUGGCAGCAGUCGAGAAUCAUUCACAAUGGGGGAAACCCUGAUGGUGCGACGCCGCGUGGGGGAAUGAAGGUCUUCGGAUUGUAAACCCCUGUCAUGUGGGAGCAAAUUAAAAUGAUAGUACCACAAGAGGAAGAGACGGCUAACUCUGUGCCAGCAGCCGCGGUAAUACAGAGGUCUCAAGCGUUGUUCGGAAGCACUGGGCGUAAAGCGUGCGUAGGCGGACUGUUAAGUCAGCGGUAAAAGCCCGGGGCCAAACCCCGGCGUGCCGUUGAAACUGGCUGUCUUGAGAUGUCGAGAGGUAUGCGGAAUGCGCGGUGUAGCGGUGAAAUGCUUAGAUAGUGCGCAGAACUCCGAUUGCGAAGGCAGCAUACCGGCGGCGAUCUGACGCUGAGGCACGAAAGCGUGGGUAUCGAACAGGAUUAGAUACCCUUGUAGUC